AUAUGCUCCCAGCCUUUCGCAAUAGAAGGAAGGAGGCCAAAACCAGCCCCUGAGCUACUGGCAGACCCCCAUCAUCUUCUCAGCAAAGAACUUGAAAUUGUUGGUAUUGACAUGAGGUCCUACAGGACAGUGCCCUCUGUCCACUUUGGCUCCCAGCCAUGCCCAGAAGGCUCCAUGAUGUCAGCUGCAAAACAGUCAACUAUCACAUGUACCCACCCCUAAACACUGAGACCCUAAAGUAACUCUUGUAAUCCAAGAGAUGAGUUUUGGCCCCAAUCUAGGCCAAUAUCCUUAGACUUUCCCCUGUGUCCCCUGAACAGACUUCGACGAGGGCUUUCUCUUGAUCAGCUCUCCCCAGAUCCUCACAACCUCCAGGACCCUCCUUUUGAAAGCGGAGCCCAUUGUCCUGGUUCUCUCCCCUCUUGAUUGUUACUUACAGUGGAGACUUGUUCGGACACCUCUGGAAACACAAACAUAAUCAGAGCAUCUUGCAUGUUCGGACUGUUGGUUCGUGCUCACGCUUAACACUGACUGAAUGAACUGAGGUGGCAUACUGGGGACACGGCCUGUGCCCAGCCAGGACUGACCUCUUUAGGCCUCUGAUUCUGGCUCAGAGCAGCAGAGACCAAUUUCGUCAAGGCCUUCGUCUGGACAAGGGCUCACGCGACCCAACCCAGCCUUCUUGGCCUGCCCAGACUAUGAAGGGACAGUCCUCCCAGCUGCUUCUGGCCUCUACUCAGGGGGGCACAUCCUCCAUGCCCACCUACCCCCACAUGCCUCAAGGGUUCUCCCCAGAGUCCUGCCCUCAACCAUAAUGAAUGAAGGAAUGAACAAGGCCGAAGUCCUGGAUUCUUGCUCGGCCACUUCUCUGCCAGUGUGUCAUUUCUGCAAUGGGUGCAGCUUCUGCAGAGAGAAGGUGGUGGGCCAGAGGCAGAGCCCCAUCCCCAUCCCCAUCCCCAGAGGGACCUCAGAAUUGUUGGUGUUUCCACGGGCCUCCUCCGGGACAAUGACUAUUGCUCAGCUGGUACCCUGAAGCAUCCCCUCCAAUCUCCGUGAUGUCUGUUUCAAACUACAAAAUGCUGGACUUGGCUGGCCCCCCUUCUAUUUACCAAGAAAGUUCUAGCGGAUGGCAUUCCGCCCAUCUCUACCAAACCUAGACUGUUGCCCUUCGCAGAUGUUCACAGAAGCUGAAAAACCCUCCCAAGCUCUGCUUGCUUUGGGGGGCCUCAUUCAAAGCCCAUCUUCCCUCCUCCAAGCCAGACCGGGAUAUUCCAGCAUCGGGAUCCCACUUUCCCCUGCUUCUUCACUUGUGGAAAGGCUGGAGGACAUCCUCUGAAAUGCUCCCAGCCUUUGGCAAGAGAAGGAAAGAGGCCAAAACCAGUCCCUGAGUCAGAGACAGACCCCCUUCAUCUCCUCAAUGAAGAACCUGGAAUUGAUGGUGUUGACAUGAGGUCCUACAAGACACUGCCCUCUGUCCACUUCGGCUCUGAGCCAUCCCCAGAAGGCUCCAUGAUGUCAGCUGCAAAACAGUCAACAAUCUCAUGUACCCACCCCUAAACACUGAGACCUUAAAGUGACUCUUGUAAUCCAAGAGAUAAGUUUUGGCCCCAAUCUAGGCCCAAUAUCCUUCGACUUUCCCCUGAGUCCCCUGAACAGACUUUGACGAGGCCUUUCUCUUGAUCAGGGCUCCCCAGAUCCUCACAAACUCCAGGACCCUCCUUUUGAAAGGGGAGCCCAUUGUCCUGGUUCUCUCCGCUCUUGAUUGUUACUGAUGGUGGGGACUUGUUCGGACACCUCUGGAAACACAAUCAUAAUCAGGUAAUCCCUGAUGACCUCAGCAUAAAAAAUGAGUCACAGCGUGUGGAGGGGCCUGGUGCACCUGUUUGUGUGGUUUUAGGGUGAGGACACGGAUGUCAGGCACACAAAGGAAUGUGCCCCUCCACU